rnacentral:rRNA from 1 species
UACGUAGGGUGCGAGCGUUGUCCGGAAUUAUUGGCGUAAAGGGCUCGUAGGCGGUCUGUCGCGUCGGGAGUGAAAACUCAGGGCUUAACCCUGAGCCUGCUUCCGAUACGGGCAGACUAGAGGUAUGCAGGGGAGAACGGAAUUCCUGGUGUAGCGGUGAAAUGCGCAGAUAUCAGGAGGAACACCGGUGGCGAAGGCGGUCUCUGGGCAUUACCUGACGCUGAGGAGCGAAAGUGUGGGGAGCGAACAGG